rnacentral:rRNA from 1 species
UUACCUCAGUAACGGCGAGUGAAGCGGUAAUAGCUCAAAUUUGAAAUCUGGCUCUUUUAGGGUCCGAGUUGUAAUUUGUAGAAGAUGCUUUGGGCGUGGCUCCGGUCUAAGUUCCUUGGAACAGGACGUCAUAGAGGGUGAGAAUCCCGUAUGUGACUGGUAGCUUUCGCCCGUGUAAAGCUCUUUCGACGAGUCGAGUUGUUUGGGAAUGCAGCUCAAAAUGGGUGGUAAAUUUCAUCUAAAGCUAAAUAUUGGCCAGAGACCGAUAGCGCACAAGUAGAGUGAUCGAAAGAUGAAAAGCACUUUGGAAAGAGAGUUAAACAGUACGUGAAAUUGUUGAAAGGGAAAGCGCUUGCAACCAGACUCGUAGGCCGUCGAUCAUCCGGGGUUCUCCCCGGUGCACUCGGCGGUCUUCGGGCCAGCAUCGGUUUGGGUGGUGGGAUAAAGGCCUUGGGAAUGUAGCUUCUUUCGGGGAGUGUUAUAGCCCUCGGUGCAAUGCCGCCUACCUGGACCGAGGACCGCGCUUCGGCUAGGAUGCUGGCGUAAUGGUUGUAAGCGACCCGUCUUGAAACACGGACCAAGGAGUCUAACAUCUAUGCGAGUAUUUGGGUGUUAAACCCAUAUGCGUAAUGAAAGUGAACGGAGGUGAGAACCCUUAAGGGUGCAUCAUCGACCGAUCCUGAUGUCUUCGGAUGGAUUUGAGUAAGAGCAUAGCUGUUGGGACCCGAAAGAUGGUGAACUAUGCCUAAAUAGGGUGAAGCCAGAGGAAACUCUGGUGGAGGCUCGCAGCGGUUCUGACGUGCAAAUCGAUCGUCAAAUUUGGGUAUAGGGGGCGAAAGACUAAUCGAACCCAUUGGAAUAACUACUAGGUGGGUUAAGAGGGCGUGAAGCCCUAGUCCCUUUUGCCGGGGCGACAUUGUCAAAUUGUUUCGGGGGACCUCCCAUUUAAUAUUCUAGGCUACCGCAGCCCGACCGAAAGGCGGGGUGCGCACCCGGGGUUAACGAACCUGGGGACGGUAGAACGCCUAGGUAGGGACAAUCCGCAGCUAACUCCUAACGGCAUCACCGCCUACGGAAGAAGUUCACAGACUCGACGGCAGUGGGCCUCCGGGCUUAAGAUAGAGUCGAACCACCGGGAGACCGGAGAAGUGGUUCAGGUAUAAGGGGGGCUACCCGCGAGGGUCCCUUGUGCUGAUGCCGCUUUAGGGUGUAAUAGUAAAUUAUACC